AGAAUAGUAGGCUAUAACAGUUACUGAUUUGUAUCAACCGUGUCAGAUAUGGGGUAUUUAUCAAGGUGAUCAUAAAUUUAAAUCCUCGAUUAACCCCACAAAACAAAAAUUACACUUGGAGGAAUCUAAACUCUCCUAUUUUACUUAUAUUUUUAAAAUAAAAAAAUGGUAAACUAUAGCACACUAUCAAAAUCUUUCAAUUUUAACUCUUUAUCCCUAGGGUAACCUUGCUGAAAUCUAACCUGGGAUUCAACACGCUACACCACGAUAUUUGAUGGUGACGUGAAUAUAAUGUUUUAUGAUUCAUGAACCCAUACAGCAGAUCUAAUAAUCUACCAAGCAUAGUUACAGGAUACUACGAACUAAGAUAUGACAACUUACCAACGCAUAGUCACUGGACGUUGCAACUAAUAUCUUCCCAUACCUUUGUUGAUAAAGCCAACUAUAAAAACAGGUGUUUAAGAUUACUUGUCCAAGGAUGUACAUAAUUUACAGCUCUUUUUAAAGACAGGGAAAGGACAACAGAGAAGACUUUUACCACAAUUACAGAUUACUACCAUUGGAGGCUAUUAGUUGCUCACCACGUUUAGUUUGUGGACGGAGCAGCCUUAGAAUGCAUCUUGAUAGAAAACUAUGCGCAACUCUUGCAUUGAGAGGCAAAGAGGUGAUAUUCUAAUUGUCAUCGAUGUGGAUGGCCCUUAGACUUCUGCAACACUUGCUUCAGCACUGCAGCAAUUCUGUGUGCCAUGUGAUGUUCUAAAAACAUCUCUUUGACCCUCUCGUAUCCUCUCUUCCCCAUUGUAAGCCUCCUCUCAACAUGAGUGGCAAGUUUGACUAUAUUUUUUGCGAGGGGAGUAACCCCAUCCUUUCCAACAGGGUGCAAUAAACCAGUAGUCCCAUUCACAACAAUUUCUGUGGUGCCACCUGCUGCUGUUCCCUGAAAAGAAUGCUUCUACAAUCAGCAGUUGCAGUUGACAUCAAAAUCCAGCAGUAAUGUGCAUAAAACACAAUAACAUAAAACCCGUGCAUAUUUAUAGUAAGAAAUCUCAGGAUCACUUUAGAAGCCUAACCAACACAGGCAGCUGAAAUGCCAUGGCUUCUAUGGUUAUCCUCCCAAAGCAUUCUCCCCGUGCCUACAUGAAUAAAUGCAGAGUCACAAAAUAUUCAAGAAAAAUCUUCAGUUCCAAUAAAUUUCUUUGAAAAGCACAUGUAAUUUUGAAGAAAAUCCACCUAAAAGCAAUUUGAAGAACAAAACACACUAAGAAACAUUCUUAUGCCUAAGAUGAGAUUUGUAAGAUCUAUAUAAGAAAAGCCAGAGUGAUCUAUAUAAAACAAGCCAGAGUGAAUAAAAAGUUAAAAGCCCUGUAUGCAUCACAUGACAAAUCUAAAUGACUCAUGGGACUGCUUCACCUUUAACAAAAUGGAACUUUCACAUUCUAUAAGAUGGAUUAACUGCACCAAAACAUUGCCUAAGAUCAUUUAUGGCAUCAACACAUUCAGUCCUGUUUUAAAGAACUACUCUAGUUUAUUGUUUUCAAGCAUCCACGAAUUGGGAAAGAAGAUAAUUAUGUACAAAUCCUAACCCUUGCUUCAACCAAGAGCCAAUUUUUUCUAGCUAAAGAAUUUAUGAAAGUAAUAAUAUCCUGAUAUUAUCUCUAACUAGGUCAGAUUUUUAUUUUGUGUAAUCACACAGGUUUUGAGAUCAGAUAAGGGGAAGAGAGAUUGGGGGGAGAGGGAGGGGAGACAAUUGGUUGGCGGCCAUCAACGAAGCACUCAAAUCUCUGAAAAUGGACCCCGAAGCAGCAAAAGAAAAUUAUUUAAUAUCGCAACCAAUAGAAGGUUAGCCCUUAACAGACCCAAUCUGGGAAAGGUUGAAUGUAACUAGCCAGCUAAUUUGGGAUUAGGAUUUUGGUUGAAUUGAGCAUAUCCUGUUGUUCUCUUGUUGGUAAAUAAAAUUUAUCAACUAUAGAGUAUAGAUUAAUGGAGACAGUUGACCAACAAACAUGGAUGGAAAACUACAAACAAAAAAAAGGGGGAAAAAAAUUAAGAAGGCACAUUCUGGGGAAAAAAGGAGCGCAAAUAAAGAAAUAUAAUUAUAGAAAAUGAUUAAUUGACUAAACUGGAUGCAUAGUUAUUAAAGACACGCCUCCGGUGCAAGGCACAAAAGAACCAAGCCUCGUUGCCUCAACUUGCUAAAGGUGGGCAACAUUACUCAUUCUUCCCUUUUUUUCUAAAAAAAAUUGUAUAUAUUUGGACCUCUUUUUUCAUGAUGCUGGUUUCCCCACUUUGUCCUUUCUCCAUGCUUUUGCCUUUUGUUAUCAGAUUCUUUGGUGGUUGAUUAAUAUUUUAGCUUUGCAUAAAUUCAAGCAAAUUGUUAACUUGUUAGUAUGAAUUGAAAUUAGAGAGAGAGAGAGAGAGA
rnacentral:misc_RNA from 1 species